AUGCAUGAUUCGGUGCAUGAUCUAGCUAUGUACGUUGCAAGUGUGGACUUUAGGGGAACUUCUUAUGUCCGCCAUCUGUCUUAAACUGAAAAUACAGGGCUUAAUGAAAUUCCAUUUGCACAAUUAGUCUUUACGAAGAACAUAUUAUUUCCUAUUGUUGGAAUUGGAUCAAACAGUACAACUUUCUUGAAUAGAUGCAUGUCAGUAUGUAAACACCUGCGGUUUUUUUUAUUUUAUUUAAGCUAUUCUGCAUAUGAGACCUUGCUGGCCAUUGGGAAAUUGGUGUUUUUAAAAUAUCUCAGUCUUGAAAAAAAUAAAAAGAUUAAGAGAAUUCCAGAUUCUAUUUGCAACUUCCUGAGGUUAGAAAUAUUGAUACUUAGUGGGUGUACAGAACUUGAGACACUUCCUAAAGGCUAA